AAAUUGAAGAGUUUGAUCAUGGCUCAGAUUGAACGCUGGCGGCAGGCCUAACACAUGCAAGUCGAACGGUAACAGGAAGCAGCUUGCUGCUUCGCUGACAAGUGGCGGACGGGUGAGUAAUGUCUGGGAAACUGCCUGAUGGAGGGGAAUAACUACUGGAAACGGUGGCUAAUACCGCAUGACGUCGCAAGACCAAAGAGGGGGACCUUCGGGCCUCUUGCCAUCAGAUGUGCCCAGAUGGGAUUAGCU
rnacentral:rRNA from 1 species